rnacentral:rRNA from 1 species
GGUUGAUCCUGCCAGAGGCGACCGCUAUUGGAGUUCGAUUAAGCCAUGCGAGUAGAAAGAAAAUAGAUUCUUUGCAUACUGCUCAGUAACACGUGGAUAACCUGCCCUACACUGGGGGAUAAUCUCGGGAAACUGAGGAUAAUACCCCAUAGACCACUACGCCUGGAACGGUGAGUGGUUGAAAGCUCAGGCGGUGUAGGAUGGGUCUGCGGCGUAUCAGGUCGUAGGGGGUGUAAUGGACCUCCUAGCCAUCGACGCGUACGGGUUGUGGGAGCAAUAGCCCGGAGACGGAUUCUGAGACACGAAUCCGGACCCUACGGGGUGCAGCAGGCGCGAAAACUUCACACUGCAGGAAACUGUGAUGAGGGAACUCCAAGUGACUGCACAUUGUGUAGCCUUUUCUUGAAUUUUAAUAGUUCUUGGAAUAAGGGCUGGGAAAGACCGGUGCCAGCCGCCGCGGUAAUACCGGCAGCUCGAGUGGUCGUCGCUUUUAUUGGGCCUAAAA